rnacentral:rRNA from 1 species
CCUACGGGGAGCAGCAGUGAGGAAUAUUGGUCAAUGGACGAAAGUCUGAACCAGCCAUGCCGCGUGCAGGAAGACGGCUCUAUGAGUUGUAAACUGCUUUUGUACGAGGGUAAACGCAGAUACGCGUAUCUGUCUGAAAGUAUCGUACGAAUAAGGAUCGGCUAACUCCGUGCCAGCAGCCGCGGUAAUACGGAGGAUUCAAGCGUUAUCCGGAUUUAUUGGGUUUAAAGGGUGCGUAGGCGGUCUGAUAAGUUAGAUGUGAAAUCCCGAGGCUCAACUUCGGAAUUGCCUCUGAUACUGUUCGUCUAGAGAGUAGUAGCGGUAGGCGGAAUGUAUGGUGUAGCGGUGAAAUGCUUAGAGAUCAUACAGAACACCGAUUGCGAAGGCAGCUUACCAAGCUACUUCUGACGUUGAGGCACGAAAGCGUGGGGAGCAAACAGGAUUAGAUACCCUUGUAGUC